GGAGGCAUAGCUCAAAUGGUAAAUGGCAUGCUCAGCAUGCAUGAUCCUGGGUUCAAUCCCCAGUACCUCCU
rnacentral:tRNA from 1 species